AGAUGCCAAAGUUUCCAUUGGAAAACCUGCACGUGUCGGGGACCACCAAACAAUUCUUGCAAACCCAGACCCUCUGCGGCCAGGGUCGGGUGAUGGGGAGGAGCUGCGAGGAUUAGUUGCUGUUGAAGGGGGCUCCGCCAAUGAAAUCUUCUCUGCGUUCUGAUUUGGCGGUUCUUCGGUGCAAAUAUGACAGCUUUCUCUCUCAGCUCUUUUCUGCAUCUCUCCAUGUCCGACCCCGGAGCCCAGUUCUCGGUCUGCAAUUUCUACACCACAACCUUUGCAAUCACCACCACCCCUAGGUCCCAUGUCAGCAGGUGCCAGGUUGCUACAAAGGUGACAGGGCACAUUGGGAAGAAGGCUUGUUGAUUGCAGAAGAUACUUAUGCCCCGUGUUUCCAGGUGGGGAAAUGUUAGAAUAAAUGCAAUGUACUUUGUACUAAAUAUAUAGUCAUGGAGAAUUGUUCAGAUUGUUUAUUUCUUUCUUUGAUGCUAACUAAUGUAUUAGAAAGAAACAGAUAUUUAUCUGUCUUUGCUGUUUUUUUUUUCUUCCCAAACAGGUCGAUGCCUGUGUGUUCCAUCAGUUAAUGGGGAGUAGUAGUUAAGAGAGUGUACUAGUGAGGCGAUGGUGAGGUGGGAUUUUGCUGUCUAUCGAGGAAAAUAAAAGAUGUGAACUUCC
rnacentral:lncRNA from 1 species